UGGUGGAGUAGCUUGUGCGGUUCCAAGCUCAUCUUCUUCCGCCAAUCCUUUCGGUGCUCUAGCCAACGCUCUUAUCGGCUCUUCUUCCAAGACGUAGGAAAGGUUGAAGGUUGUCUUACCUUCAAACCCUCAUCUCUCCUCUGUUCUCUCCCUUCUUCCCUCUCUCUACCUUCAAAGUAAACCAAACAGUCUCAGAGCCAUGGACCAACACAAGACCGACGACAAUCUCCGUUA